ACACCUGUAUUAAAAAAAGAUAUAAUUUCCUCAAAAUUGGUUAUGGAAGUUGGUGAGAAUCCAACACUGCCCUCGCAACGGUAUUUCUUUGAUUAGUCCGAUACAUCUCAAUUUUUUUUUACUUAA
rnacentral:ncRNA from 2 species